rnacentral:rRNA from 1 species
AUUGAACGCUGGCGGCAGGCCUAACACAUGCAAGUCGAACGAGUGGCGGACGGGUGAGUAAUGUCUGGGAAACGGCCUGAUGGAGGGGGAUAACUACUGGAAACGGUAGCUGAUACCGCCUAGCAGCGGCUGUGCCCAGUUGGGAUUAGCUAGUUGUUGGGGUAAAGGCCGACCAAGGCGACGAUCCCUAGCUGGUCGGAGAGGAUGAACAGUCACACUGGAACUGAGACACGGUCCAGACUCCUACGGGAGGCAGCAGUGGGGAAUAUUGCACAAUGGGCGCAAGCCUGAUGCAGCCAUGCCGCGUGUAUGAAGAAGGCCUGCGGGUUGUAAAGUACUUUCAGCGGGGAGGCGUUACCCGCAGAAUAAGCACCGGCUAACUCCGUGCCAGCCGCCGCGGUAAUAC